rnacentral:rRNA from 1 species
GCAUGAAGUCGGAAUUGCUAGUAAUCGCGGAUCAGCAUGCCGCGGUGAAUACGUUCCCGGGCCUUGUACACACCGCCCGUCACACCAUGGGAGCCGGUAAUACCCGAAGUCAGUAGUCCAACCUCGUGAGGACGCUGCCGAAGGUAGGAUUGGCGACUGGGUGAAGUCGUAACAAGGUAUC